rnacentral:rRNA from 1 species
UACGGGGGGGGCAAGCGUUAUUCGGAUUCACUGGGCGUAAAGCGCACGUAGGCGGUUCGGUAAGUCUGAUGUGAAAGCCCUCGACUUAAUCGAGGAAGUGCAUUGGAUACUGCCAGACUAGAGUACAGGAGAGGAAGAUGGAAUUCCCGGUGUAGAGGUGAAAUUCGUAGAUAUCGGGAGGAACAACAGAGGCGAAGGCGAUCUUCUGGACUGUAACUGACGCUGAGGUGCGAAAGCAUGGGUAGCAAACAGG